UACGUAGGGUGCGAGCGUUAAUCGGAAUUACUGGGCGUAAAGCGUGCGCAGGCGGUUCGUUAAGUCAGAUGUGAAAGCCCCGGGCUCAACCUGGGAACUGCAUUGGAAACUGGCGGACUCGAGUGUGGCAGAGGGGGGUGGAAUUCCGCGUGUAGCAGUGAAAUGCGUAGAGAUGCGGAGGAACACCGAUGGCGAAGGCAGCCCCCUGGGCUAACACUGACGCUCAGGCACGAAAGCGUGGGGAGCAAACAGG
rnacentral:rRNA from 1 species